GACGAACGCUGGCGGCGUGCCUAAUACAUGCAAGUAGAACGCACAGUUUAUACCGUAGCUUGCUACACCAUAGACUGUGAGUUGCGAACGGGUGAGUAACGCGUAGGUAACCUGCCUGGUAGCGGGGGAUAACUAUUGGAAACGAUAGCUAAUACCGCAUAAUAUUAAUUAUUGCAUGAUAAUUAAUUGAAAGGUGCAAUUGCACCACCACCAGAUGGACCUGCGUUGUAUUAGCUAGUAGGUGAGGUAACGGCUCACCUAGGCGACGAUACAUAGCCGACCUGAGAGGGUGAUCGGCCACACUGGGACUGAGACACGGCCCAGACUCCUACGGGAGGCAGCAGUAGGGAAUCUUCGGCAAUAGACGAAAGUCUGACCGAGCAACGCCGCGUGAGUGAAGAAGGUUUUCGGAUCGUAAAGCUCUGUUGUAAGAGAAGAACGGGUGUGAGAGUGGAAAGUUCACACUGUGACGGUAUCUUACCAGAAAGGGACGGCUAACUACGUG
rnacentral:rRNA from 1 species